UUCAACGGCGGGCCGGGCGGGGCAGCCGUAUGGCUGGCCGGUUUUUCGCUGAACCUCCGGUAUUGCUACCCCCGCUGUCAGGCCCGCCACCCUU
rnacentral:antisense_RNA from 1 species